rnacentral:rRNA from 1 species
CAACCUGGCGGCAGCUUACACAUGCAGUCGAGCGAGACCUUCGGGUCUAGCGGCGGACGGGUGAGUAACGCGUGGGAACGUGCCCUUCUCUACGGAAUAGCCCCGGGAAACUGGGAGUAAUACCGUAUACGCCCUUUGGGGGAAAGAUUUAUCGGAGAAGGAUCGGCCCGCGUUGGAUUAGGUAGUUGGUGGGGUAAUGGCCCACCAAGCCGACGAUCCAUAGCUGGUUUGAGAGGAUGAUCAGCCACACUGGGACUGAGACACGGCCCAGACUCCUACGGGAGGCAGCAGUGGGGAAUCUUAGACAAUGGGGGCAACCCUGAUCUAGCCACGCCGCGUGAGUGAUGAAGGCCUUAGGGUUGUAAAGCUCUUUCAGCUGGGAAGAUAAUGACGGUACCAGCAGAAGAAGCCCCGGCUAACUCCGUGCCAGCAGCCGCGGUAAU